rnacentral:rRNA from 1 species
CUCCGGUGGAUCCUCCCGGACCCGACUGCUAUCAGAGUGGGACUGAGCCAUGCGAGUCAACGUAGCAAUACGUGGCAUACGGCUCAGUAACACGUAGUCAACAUGCCCAGGGGACGAGGAUAACCUCGGGAAACUGAGGAUAAACCUCGAUAGGCCAUGAUUUCUGGAAUGAUUCUUGGCUCAAACCUAUAUGGCCCCUGGAUUGGACUGCGGCCGAUCAGGCUGUUGGUGAGGUAAUGGCCCACCAAACCUAUUACCGGUACGGGCUCUGAGAGGAGGAGCCCGGAGAUGGGCACUGAGACAAGGGCCCAGGCCCUAUGGGGCGCAGCAGGCGCGAAACCUCUGCAAUAGGCGAAAGCUUGACAGGGUUACUCUGAGUGAUUUCCGCUAAGGGAAUCUUUUGGCACCUCUAAAAAUGGUGCAGAAUAAGGGGUGGGCAAGUCUGGUGUCAGCCGCCGCGGUAAUACCAGCACCCCGAGUGGUCGGGACAAUUAUUGGGCCUAAAGCAUCCGUAGCCGGUCCUGCAAGUCUUCCGUUAAAUCCAGCUGCUCAACAGAUGGGCUGCGGGAGAUACUACAGGGCUAGGAGGCGGGAGAGGCAAGCGGUACUUUAUGGGUAGGGGUAAAAUCCGCUGAUCCAUAGAAGACCACCAGUGGCGAAGGCGGCUUGCCAGAACGCGCUCGACGGUGAGGGAUGAAAGCUGGGGGAGCAAACCGGAUUAGAUACCCGGGUAGUCCCAGCUGUAAACGAUGCAAACUCGGUGAUGCAUUGGCUUAUGGCCAAUGCAGUGCCGCAGGGAAGCCGUUAAGUUUGCCGCCUGGGAAGUACGGACGCAGUUCUGAAACCUUAAGGAAUUGGCGGGGGAGCA